rnacentral:rRNA from 1 species
UACGUAGGGUGCGAGCGUUAAUCGGAAUUACUGGGCGUAAAGCGUGCGUAGGCGGUUCGUUAAGUCAGUUGUGAAAGCCCCGGGCUCAACCUGGGAAUUGCGGUUGAAACUGGCGAACUAGAAUCUGGCAGAGGGGGGUGGAAUUCCACGUGUAGCAGUGAAAUGCGUAGAGAUGUGGAGGAACACCGAUGGCGAAGGCAGGUCUCUGGGCAUUAACUGACGCUGAGGAGCGAAAGCAUGGGGAGCGAACAGG